CAGGGUCUACUUUUUAGGAAAACACGGGUAUAGUGCGAUUUCCGGGUUUUUUCGCCGAGAUUCCGAAUAUGUUCCCCCCCGAUGAGGGCUGUUAGUGUAAACCUCUUAGCGGGGAAGCGAUCUCAAAUGUUUUGUUGGGUUUUGAUGACCGGUUUUGGGUCGGGUUUUCGAUGUUGGUAAGGGGGAUCACACAGGGUGAGUGGG